UACAAUCAAAUUUAGUUAGGUGACGCUUAUAAUUUUCCUCAUUUCCAAUGAUGCUUAACAAUAUAUAAAAGUUCUUCGAGUAAUGGUUGUUUGAUUGGUGUUAAUGCCAAUGAGAUGAUGCUUAUCCGAUGGGUGAUGUGGUCAUGAAAUUCCUACUUUAUUGAUCAGAUCAAGGUUAGCCGAACUAGCAAUGGGAUCCGUAUCGGUUGGCGCUCACUUUGGUAUGGUACCUAUCGACACGCUACAUUAAGACAUGCCAGUUUCGAACUGGCAUGCCAUUUUUUUUCUCAAUUUUUUUAUGGUUUAAUGAAAGGUAAUUGAUUUUUUUAGUUUUUUGAAUGAUUUUAAGUCUAAUUUGAUGUUUCUUGAUUUUUUUUUGAUAUUUCUAUCAUUCGGUAUUUGAUGUUUCUUGAUGUUUUUUGAUAUUUCUUUCAUCUUGGUACACCUUAAAUCAUGCUUUUUGACAUAUUGGAGUGAUUUUUCUGCAUCAUUAUGGCUUCGCACUGAAAUAAUACUAUCUUGGGGAGCCAAAAACCUGAAAAUCUAUGUCAUUAGGUUUGCUACCCUGAAGCCUUUUGUAUUAGCGUCAGCCAUAAACCAAAGUGCAAAGAAAAAAGCUAGCGAUCGUGGCUUUGCAUGCUAGAAGAAGCAAUAUAAAAUAUUCUAAAAUUAAUUAGUGAGAUACAAAAUGUAAAAUAAUAUAAUCAGUUGCAUGUAUAUAAAGUAUAAUAUACAUAUCGACAUCUAGAAUCUCAUCGAGUGGCAAUGUCUCUCAUUUCUGGAUCAUUAAUAUAAUCAGGAGGCAUAUAAGCCCACUCCUCUAAUCAAGUGGCAUCGUAGUUUUGUACGUUCAUGCACUCUAGGUUAUAACUGAUCUUGGAUCCCUCAAUAAAGCUUUAGCUUUAAGAUGUGUCCUUUGGCUGAUAGUAUGGUUUGGAGGGGUCCAUUCGAAUAUGUCGGCAGCAAAAUCCGAUAUGUAAGGUGCUUCAGGCUAUGUAGGAUAGUGGCUAUUGGAAGCCAAUGACUUAGGCGCACCAUACCACUAUCGUAUGGGUCAUAGGCUGUUUAUAGGUGUGGGUUUUAAGAUCCAGCAUACAAUUCGAAACCUGAUACGUCUAUGGAUCUAACUCUAUUUGUGAGGUCAUCUACGAUUGCAUCAUAUCCUUUUGAAAGAUCUAGAGGUGUUCGUUUCCUAUAUACAAUUUUAUCCUUGCGGGCUUUACUAGCUCGUGCACUAUGGUCCC
rnacentral:lncRNA from 1 species